ACGGAAGGCAGCAGUGGGGAAUAUUGCACAAUGGGCGAAAGCCUGAUGCAGCGACGCCGCGUGAGUGAAGAAGUAUCUCGGUAUGUAAAGCUCUAUCAGCAGGGAAGAAAAUGACGGUACCUGACUAAGAAGCCCCGGCUAACUACGUGCCAGCAGCCGCGGUAAUACGUAGGGGGCAAGCGUUAUCCGGAUUUACUGGGUGUAAAGGGAGCGUAGACGGUUUGGCAAGUCUGAAGUGAAAUGCGGGGGCUCAACUCCUGAACUGCUUUGGAAACUGUCGAACUAGAGUGCAGGAGAGGUAAGUGGAAUUCCUAGUGUAGCGGUGAAAUGGGUAGAUAUUAGGAGGAACACCAGUGGCGAAGGCGGCUUACUGGACUGUAACUGACGUUGAGGCUCGAAAGCGUGGGGAGCAAACAGGAUUAGAUACCCUGGUA
rnacentral:rRNA from 1 species